AUCGCCUGCUGGUCCUGGGAGUUGCUCCCUCCCACGAAGUGGCUUCCUGGUGUGUUCGUGACGUUGAUAGUAGAACCGGAACGCGUUGCAGCUGCGCUGUCGUGGCUCCCGGAAGUGGGGGGCGGGUUGGCACCUGGUCCGUCAUGUUGUCGCAGGACAGUAAUGACGACACUGAAGAUGUCUCACUGUUUGAUGCAGAAGAGGAGACAACCAGUAGACCAAGAAAAUCCAGAAUCAGACACCCGGUGGCGUCCUUCUUCCACCUGUUCUUCCGAGUCAGCGCGGUGGUGGUCUAUCUCCUCUGCGAGCUGCUCAGCAGCAGCUUUAUUGCCUGCAUGGUGACAAUCAUCCUGCUGCUGUCAUGUGACUUUUGGGCAGUGAAGAAUGUCACCGGUAGACUAAUGGUCGGCCUACGUUGGUGGAAUCAUAUCGACGAGGAUGGAAAGAGCCACUGGGUGUUUGAGUCCAGAAAGUCAACUCCUCAAGACAGCAAAACCAUUUCCGAGGCCGAGUCGAGAAUCUUUUGGUUAGGACUCAUCGCCUGCCCAGUCCUGUGGGUGAUCUUUGCCUUUAGUGCCCUCUUUUCCUUCAGAGUGAAGUGGCUGGCUGUGGUGAUCAUGGGUGUGGUGCUGCAAGGUGCCAACCUAUAUGGUUAUGUCCGGUGUAAAGUGGGCAGCAAGAAGAACUUAACCAGCAUGGCUACGUCCUAUCUUGGAAAGCAGUUUCUAAGACAAAACGCUGGAGAUGGUCAGACUUCAUGAGUAAAGACAAAGACUGGGCCAUGGACUCUGGGAGCGAUGGAGAAGAUCUUGGUGUUUAGAGCUCAGUCUGUUGCAGGCCCUCCUUUCUCCAAUCCUCUAGUCCCAUCUUUACAAAUCCUUCUUCCCGCUGUCAGAAGGUGAGCCCCUCUUGGAUACUACCAUGGGACAUCUAGUCCCAGCAGGACACAUCCUCUCCCACUGAGGCCCAACCCAGCAGUCCAGGUAGGGGGAAGGGGAUCUAAUGGGAAGGAACCGAGAUAGUCCCCACUCAACUUGUUAGGGGACCCACAUGAAGAAAGGUUGUACAUUUGCCACAAAUGUGUAGGGGUCUAGGUCCAGCUCCUGCAUGCUCCCUGGUUGGUGCCCCGGGCUCUCUGAGCCCCUGUGGUCCCAGGUUAGUUGACUCUGUGGGUCUUCUUAUGGUGUCCUUGACCUCUCCUUCUUGUUUACUUCUAUGCACCACACUUUCACAAGUCUCCCUGGACUCUGACUGAUGUUUGACUGUGGUCUCUGCAUCUAUCUCCAUCUGCUGCCGGAUGAAGCCCCUCAGGUGACAGUUAUGCUAGGCUCCUGUCUGCAGGCUUAGCAGAGCAUCAUUAAUAGUGUUGGGUGACUCUCACAUGGGAUGGUCUCCCGUUGGGGCAGUCAUUGGAUGGCUCUUCCCUCAGUCUCUGCCCCAUCUUUAUCCUUGCACAUCUUGUAAUCAAGACAAACUUCGGGUUAAAGGGUUUGUGGGUGGAUUGAUGACCCCCUCCCUGCCUGGCCACAGGAGGUGGCCACUUUUAUUCUCCAUAUCCCCCUCUGGUAGGAAUCUCAGCUAGAGUCACCCCACAGACUGCCCAUAUCCUCUCCAGUCCCAGGCCUCCAGCUAGUCACCAGAGAUGCACCCCACCCCCCACCCCAGUCACCAGAGGUGUACCCUGCCCCCCACCCCCACACACUAUUUAGUUUUCCCCUCUGAGUUUUUUCCUUCCCAGCUAGAACAUGGCAACGGAUUCCUACGUUUCCUCAGUGAGACUUGGUGUGGCCACGUGACCUGGUUCUGGCCAGUGGAAACACUUCUAGGAACCAGGGCUAAGACAUCCUCAUCCCCUUCUCAUGUUCAUCCUUCUGUCUGAUGUUUUGAGAAUUCCUUCCCUGGGGAGAAGGAAGCAGGUGUCCACCCACUCCUUAGAAGGCCCCAGUGGCAAACCAAAGGGUGAUUCCCCCUGAGUUCAGUGUGGUGAACAGGUGGGUUUCUUGGCUUCCCUACACCGCAUGCUAAACAAGCUGCCGUGCUUAGCCACUGCAUCACAGUUGAGAAAGGGUCCAAGAGAGGUUGCCGUAAGUGGUGGCUUCUUUGUACCGUCCCCAUCAGCCAGGAUGCGAUGGCUGGAGUGGGCGCCACCGCAGGACUGAGAGCAUGGCUGUGUCCUCAGACCCUGGUGUCAGCUCCUUGACUCACAUGUGAAUAGAGGUGUGCAUAGCAGUGAAGGCACACAGACUCCAUCACAGUGUGUGCCUGCAUUGUAACCUUGGGUCCUCCUAGUGUUUAGUGAUAUUUCCCUAUAACCUCAAGCGGGAGGAAAGAAAGGACCGCUGUGUACCAUGUAACUCCCUGUUAAGAUUUAUAGCCAAGGCUAAGCAAAGCAAAAUAAUCACCAAGAGACAGUCUGCUUACCAGGGACCCCAUUUGUCAUUUCUCAGGCCCCUUGGUUAGUUGGGGUUGUGUCUUUGUGGCUAAUGAGAUUGGAGUGAAAUGGCUGGCUAUGUCACUGAUUCUCCAGUCUUUUGUUCCUUAUGGUAGCAAGGUGGUGGGGCCUCAGGCAGCUGUGGAGACUGGACAACAGAGUCCCCCUUCCUGGUUCAGUGGGGCCAGAGUGCUAGCAAGAAAAACAAACAAACACCCCCCCCACCCCCAAACCUGUGUAGAAUGAACCUGUUGGCUUCCUGGUUAAUGGUUACUGUAGCCCGGCAAACACUGCAUAGCAGAACAGCCUGCUUGGCCAGCACAGUUGCAUAACCAAUAGAAUAGUCAGAAAACUCUAAAAAAUACUAAAUAAAAUAAUAAUAAAAUAAAAAUACUAAUUAUUGUAUUUACUUGGUGCUUGCAUGUGCCCCUGUGGAGGUCGCAGGACAACUUGGAAGGUUCACUCCUUCCAUCCCGUGUGUACCGUGGAUCGAACUCACACCACUGGACUUCGCACCUUCGUCCACUGAGCUGACUCACUGGCCCUAGAAGACAUUUUCUAAAAAGUCUCGGUUCAGCAACUUUUCAUUGUUUGAUGCCGUGCCCUAUUCCAAAGAAAGAAGCUGGAUUCCUUGUCCCUUCCUGCAAGGUCACACUGUGGGGCCAUAAAGACUUUGAUUGUGGAGAGCUGCUAAGCCCAAGUCCCAUCUAGGUUGAUAAGAAGCUUUGCACCUCCAGCCUUUUGUUGUCACAGUUGUGGGACCACGGCACUAGGACUUUCAGGUUCUCAAGAGGAAUGGAGAAUUAAUAUGAAAUCUGACCUUUAAAUAAAUAUAGAUUCAAUUUAAAAGGGAGAAAAA